UACGGGGGGAGCAAGCGUUGUUCGGAUUUACUGGGCGUAAAGGGCGCGUAGGCGGCCAGCACAAGUCAGUUGUGAAAUCUCCGAGCUUAACUCGGAAAGGUCAACUGAUACUGUGCGGCUAGAGUGCGGAAGGGGCAACUGGAAUUCUUGGUGUAGCGGUGAAAUGCGUAGAUAUCAAGAGGAACACCUGCGGCGAAGGCGGGUUGCUGGGCCGACACUGACGCUGAGGAGCGAAAGCAUGGGGAGCGAACAGG
rnacentral:rRNA from 1 species